UAACCUGUUCAUACGUAGUAAACACAAAUAACUUUUUUGAUUUAAUUUAAUAAAAGAUGUGAUUUGUGAAAAUUCCAAUGUUUUGUUAAUAUUCAAGAAACUUUGUAGGGUAGUUCCUGAGUUUUGUCAAGAUAUACCCUUACCACUAUCUAACCAUGUAUAAUCGUUGGGAUGUUAUUUAGAUUCAGGCACAUCCAAACAAAUCACAUGAUUUGUUUAUGUAUUUUGAUUUUGACUGGUCUAAUAUUUGGAAUAAAAUUCAUUUUCUUGAAACACCAAAAAACAUUAAGAUUAAAUGAAUAUAGCAAACAGAUUGAUAUUAUUUUGGAAACAACCAACUUUGUUGAAAAAACAGAAAGACAUACUACAAUGCUUAUGAAAAGACUAGGAACUAUAAUGAAAUCUCACAAAAAGAGCAAAAUAACUAAAAGAAAAGUAUUGCCAAAGUAGUUAAAAUGUUACCUUAGAUAUAUUUUAUUUAUUAAAAUGCUUUAUAUAAUGAAUUUAUUGUAAUAUAAUGUAUUGUUAAU